rnacentral:rRNA from 1 species
GACGAAGGUGGCAAGCGUUGCUCGGAAUCACUGGGCAUAAAGCGCGCGUAGGUGGCUUGAUAAGUCGGUGGUGAAAUCCCAUGGCUCAACCAUGGAACUGCCGUCGAUACUGUCAGGCUUGAGGACUGGAGAGGAGAUUGGAAUUCACGGUGUAGCAGUGAAAUGCGUAGAUAUCGUGAGGAAGACCAGUGGCGAAGGCGGAUCUCUGGACAGUUCCUGACGCUGAGGCGCGAAGGCCAGGGGAGCAAACGGG